CUAACCUUUGUAAGAAUUUUCCCCGUGUUAAUGAUACAGAGAUUAGCGUGGCCUCUGCACAAGGAUGACAUGCAAAUUGGUGAAGUAUUCCAUAUUUUU
rnacentral:snRNA from 1 species